CAAAUGGAAAAUGAGACGAAUGUUUUAUAUAAUAGAAUACAUUCUACCAAUCAUCAAAAAACGGUGUUUAAAUGUUUAAAAAAAUGUUUGAUGUAUUGUUCAGCACUCAAAAAAUUGUCAAAAGAACUAUCAUUUUUAUCAACUGGAUUAACCAUAUUUUCAUUCUUAUUAGGAUGUGGGAUUUAUAUUAGUUCUAUUGUUUACUUAUUACAGGCACAUUCAAUUUUAAGUAUUACUAGGCUGACUUUCAGUAUAACACAGUCAUUAAUUAUAUGUAUACCUUUCGUAUGCUUAGGUCAGGCAUUGUGUGAUACGGUAAUUAUAAGUAAUUAAUAUAUAAAUAUAGUAUAAUUAUUUAUUUAUUAGUUUGAAACAUUCUAUAACAAAGUUUUA